AUAUGCUGUUUGUAUAAUAACAACAUACUGCAGGAGGGAGAGAGAGGCAGUGUGUUGAUAUGCUGUUUGUAUAAUAACAAUAUACUGCAGGAGGAGAGAGAGAGGCAGUGUGUUGAUAUGCUGUUUGUAUAAUAACAACAUACUGCAGGAGGAGAGAGAGGCAGUGUGUUGAUAUGCUGUUUGUAUAAUAACAACAUACUGCAGGAGGGAGGCAGUGUGUUGAUAUGCUGUUUGUAUAAUAACAACAUACUGCAGGAGGAGAGAGAGGCAGUGUGUUGAUAUGCUGUUUGUAUAAUAAUAACAUACUGCAGGAGGAGAGAGAGGCAGUGUGUUGAUAUGCUGUUUGUAUAAUAACAACAUACUGCAGGAGGAGAGAGAGGCAGUGUGUUGAUAUGCUGUUUGUAUAAUAACAACAUACUGCAGGAGGAGAGAGAGGCAGUGUGUUGAUAUGCUGUUUGUAUAAUAACAACAUACUGCAGGAGGAGAGAGAGAGGCAGUGUGUUGAUAUGCUGUUUGUAUAAUAACAACAUACUGCAGGAGGAGAGAGAGGCAGUGUGUUGAUAUGCUGUUUGUAUAAUAACAACAUACUGCAGGAGGAGAGA
rnacentral:lncRNA from 1 species